AGCUAUAUAGUAUAGUGGUCAAUGUAUAUACUCUCUAUAUACCUAACCUCUAGACCCGCCUAGAGGUUGGGCUAUGACUAGUAUAGGGUUAUAGGUUCGAUUCCUAUCGUAGCUA